GGGCUUCGGGAAGAGGAAAGGU
rnacentral:siRNA from 1 species